rnacentral:rRNA from 1 species
UGGGGAAUAUUGCACAAUGGGGGGAAACCCUGAUGCAGCGACGCCGCGUGAGUGAAGAAGUAUUUCGGUAUGUAAAGCUCUAUCAGCAGGGAAGAUAAUGACGGUACCUGACUAAGAAGCCCCGGCUAACUACGUGCCAGCAGCCGCGGUAAUACGUAGGGGGCAAGCGUUAUCCGGAUUUACUGGGUGUAAAGGGAGCGUAGGUGGCAGGGCAAGUCAGAUGUGAAAAACCCGGGGCUCAACCCCGGAUGGCAUUUGAACUUGACCGCCUGGAGUGCAGGAGAGGUAAGUAGGAAUUCCUAGUGUAGCGGUGAAAAUGCAUAGAUAUUAGGAGGAACACCAGUGGCGAAGGCGGCUUACUGGACUGUAAACUGACACUGAGGCUCGAAAAGCGUGGGGAGCAAAACAGGAUUAGAUACC